AAGUUGUAAAAAAAAAAUCACAUUGGGUUGAAUUUAAAUGAUUGAUGCGUUGAAGAGAAUUAUUGAGAAAUUGUCUUAAUGUUUAGGUUCGUUCUUCGUAGACUUCAACGUGGUUAAGGAGCUUAACUAACUUGAAAGCAAAGGUAAUAAAGACGGCAAACCGGCGAGGGGCAGGAAGGAAGCGUGAUUGCCAUAGGGGUUAUUUUAAAUUGCUUUCGCUAAAUGUUUUGUUUCACGUGUUUUGUUUUAGUACUUGAGAUUGUUUAGAAGAUUUUAUAGUUGAACUGUAUUCACGAAUUAGUAAAUUUUUCUUGAAAGUGUUGGUUAUUUUAAAUAGGGCCCAGAUAUAAAUUUUUUGUUUUCUUGAGACUUUGAAA